rnacentral:rRNA from 1 species
GCCAGACUCCUACGGGAGGCAGCAGUGGGGAAUAUUGCACAAUGGGGGGAACCCUGAUGCAGCGACGCCGCGUGGGCGAGGAAGUAUUUCGGCAUGUAAAGCCCUAUCGGCAGGGAAGAAGAAAUGACGGUACCUGAAUAAGAAGCACCGGCUAAAUACGUGCCAGCAGCCGCGGUAAUACGUAGGGGGCAAGCGUUAUCCGGAUUUACUGGGUGUAAAGGGGGCGCAGACGGCGAUGCAAGCCAGGAGUGAAAGCCCGGGGCCCAACCCCGGGACUGCUCUUGGAACUGCGUGGCUGGAGUGCAGGAGGGGCAGGCGGAAUUCCUGGUGUAGCGGUGAAAUGCGUAGAUAUCAGGAGGAACACCGGUGGCGAAGGCGGCCUGCUGGACUGCGACUGACGUUGAGGCCCGAAAGCGUGGGGAGCAAACAGGAUUAGAUACCCUAGUA